UCCACCAAACGUCUUUGUUUUCUUUUCAACAGCGCGUAGAGCUCUCGGAAGCUAUCCUGUGCCAAUGGAAGGGGCGGAGUGGGGUCGGGACUGAGCAUGCCUUUCCCCAGAGGCACAGAAGUUUGCAAAUUACUUUCAAAGACUUUGGGAGAAGCCCAGGCUGCGUGCUGCCAGGGAAGCCUGGCUGGUCUUCUCUCCUGGUAAGUAGGCAGAAGAGGGAACCAUUUCUAGGUAAGUUCUCUUUGAAAUGACUUUGUGAGGUAAGUCCUUAUGUUUGCGUGUCUGUGCUUCCCAGCAAAUUCUCUUAGGCUCCAAAAGGAUUCACCUCAUAUGCAGCCAGUUCCUCCAGUGCCCUUGCAUUCUGGUCGUGGGGGCCAGAGUCAAGCCCAGUGUUCCUUUUCUGAAAGGCUCGUAUUGUACUAACUGUGAUGAUGCCAGAAUACAUAGCAUAUUAUUUGCAAAAUGCACCCCUAGUUUAUGCCACCUGCUUGUCCCCUGGGAUGGAGUUCUGUUUAAUCCAGACAAUGUAUUUGGAACUGAAAUCCGAUUGUCCAUUGUUGAAAAUUAGAAAGCUCAGGUUGUCAACUUCCUCUGAGUUUCUUUACCCACCCCUCGUGCUGUAACAACUUCUCAUUAUCUCUCCUUUGGUUACUAAAACCGAGACAAGGACCUGUGGUUCCUACCACCGCCAAGGGAACUGUAUUAGUUCAGGACCCCCAAGACCAAGUUUUCAGUCCAAAGGACAUUUAUUUGCCCCAGAGGGACAAAGGGCAGGGAAUAAAAGACAAAGACAGGAGAUAGAAGACUAGGGAGAAGGGGAAGGAAACAAAGGAGAGAGGGAAGAGGUAUUUGUCUGAAGACAAAGGACUGUCUCUGGGUAGAGAGGAGACAGAUGCGGCCCAUAGGCAAAUGGCAGUUUACACAGGUACAGGGGAAACCCCAUGUUGAGACGAGAUGUCUAAUUUCAACUGGCCAUGUUAAUUAGGUGAGCCAAGGGGGCUUUGAUUGCUGGACUUCAGUACUUUGAUAGUUGGACAUUUGUAGUCAGCCUCAGGAGGAAGAAAUGGCCAAAAAAGGGGAUAGACUUUGGUGGCUAGCUUAGG
rnacentral:sRNA from 1 species